CUGGAUCGAUGAUGCAACUUUUUUCUGCGUUAUCUUUCUGCAACCUUUUAUGGUGCUGAAGAAGACAUUACCUGCUGAGAUCCGAG
rfam:Sorghum bicolor cultivar BTx623 chromosome 9, whole genome shotgun sequence.